UGUAUAGUAGCGAAAGUUGGGUAUGGCAGAAGAGGCAUCAGAGCCAAGUGAAUGCAGUGGAAAUGAGAGCGUUGAGAAGUGUGUGUGGUGUGAGAUUACAAGAUAGAAUUAGGAACAGUGUGAUAAGGGAAAAGUGUGGACUGAACGAAGAUGUAGUGACAAAAAUUGAGAAAGAAGGCUGACAAAGAGAGUGUAUAAGGGAGAAAUAGAAGAGGGAGUUGGAAAGGGCAGACCUCGGCGAACUUUCUUCGAUCAGAUCGGGGAAAUCCUGAAGAAAGGCCAGGUCAAGAGCACCCUAAACCGGCGAGCGUGUAUGAGGAAUAUUAUGAAAGUAACGGAAGCAAAAGAGGUAUGUCGGGAUCGUAGCAAGUGGAAAUCCGUGGUCUCUGCCUACCCCUCCGGGAAAUAGGCGUGAUUAUAUGUAUGUAUGAUUAUAU